UUUGGGCGUGUCUCCCUUCUCGGGAGACUCUCUCAACCCCCACGAACCCUUGACCUCAAAUCGGGUGAGACUACCCGCUGAACUUAAGCAUAUCAAUAAGCGGAGGAAAAGAAACUAACAAGGAUUCCCCUAGUAACUGCGAGUGAAGCGGGAAAAGCUCAAAUUUAAAAUCUGGCGGUCUCUGGCCGUCCGAG
rnacentral:rRNA from 1 species